UACGUAGGUGGCGAGCGUUGUCCGGAAUUAUUGGGCGUAAAGGGCGCGUAGGCGGCUCUUUAAGUCAGAUGUGAAAACCCAGGGCUUAACUCUGGGAGUGCAUUUGAAACUGAAGAGCUCGAGUGCAGGAGAGGUAAGUGGAAUUCCUAGUGUAGCGGUGAAAUGCGUAGAUAUUAGGAGGAACACCAGUGGCGAAGGCGACUUGCUGGACUGUAACUGACGCUGAGGCGCGAAAGCGUGGGGAGCAAACAGG
rnacentral:rRNA from 1 species